rnacentral:lncRNA from 1 species
CCCUGAGCUAACAUCUGUGCCCAUCUUGCUCUAUUUUUUUUCCCAUCUUCUCCCCAAAGCCCCCCAGUACAUAGUUGUGUAUUUUAGUUGUGGGUCCUUCUAUCUGUGGCAUGUGGGACACUGCCUCAGCGUGGUUUGAUAAGCAGUGCUAGGUCUACGCCCAGGAUUUGAACCAGCAAAACCCUGGGCCACUGAAGCAGAGCGCACAAACCCAACCAACGGGCCACGGAGCCAGCCCCCCAGGGGAUAUUUUAGAUGAAAGAAAAUAUAUGUGGCAUUCUCCCUACACAGCAGAUCCCAGUUUAAAUCCAUUUUGAAAGCCAAAAGGUGAACGUAGAGGCCGCUCACCACCAGAACACAGCAGAAUCUGCCACCAGGAAAGUACUCCCCACAGUUAUCUAAAACAUGAGGGUUACAGCUUUGACACUUGGGACUCAGGAUUGCAGCCAAACUGGGAUGCUUUUGAGAAUGUCAGGUAGUAGAACUAAUAAGGACACCAGGCAACAGGCAUGACCAGGAGUGUCCCGGAGUGUCCUGGUGUGCCCAAGAGAGUGUAGGGCCUGACAGGCACGGAAAAGGGGCUGUGUGGCUACCAGGACGCAGGAGGCUACACCACGCUGAAGAACUUGCCCUCCACGGCCUCGCUUUCCAAGGAUAUCCUUGUGUCAUGUGAGGAGAUGGACAUACCCAUUUUGCAAAAAGGCAAAAACUAUCACGUUACCUCAGUUAGUUGGGUCAGCUCUUACAGAGUCCAAAAAAACCAAAAUCCACAUAAGAAGGUCAUGGGGAGAAUAAACCCACAGUUCUGCGUCUCUAAAACACUGCCCGAAAAGCGGGUGGGAACUAGCUAAUGGGUUCCUGACUCUCCUAGACUUUCCUGCUAGAAAUCUUCAUCUCCCAGGAACAUGGCCAAGUGCUCUCUGCUCUCUGCUCAGCCCAGGGCUCAUCAUCACCUCUGCGGAGGGCCGAGGAGACCAGGAGCAGGAACUAGAAUGGAUCUGUCUACAAGGCUCGCAGCUCCUGGCCCAGGAGGAGAGCGCUCGGCUGGAGGCAGCCACUGCAGUGGCAGCUUCUUUCUGCAGGAUAUCCCGUCUUCUCUGUGGCCACAGAAAACUGGGUUUGGCGUUUUUAAGGAAAAGCAACUGAAUCUCUGUAGCUGAACCUCCCGACCACUCCCCGCCCAUUCCAAGCCCAGAUUGGGCCCCUCAGUCCACUGUCUCCCAACCACAUAUUUGCUCACACACCUGUGUACUCACCUGUAUACUAAUCCAGUGGCACUUAAUAAAAUCAUGCUCCAUGGGGACAGAAGCUGGAAUUAAAUAAUGCAGCCGUCUUAUUUUUUUUUUUAAAGCAAAGACACUCCCCAAUCCCUUUUAUUUCUCUUCCUUCACGAAGUCUAAGUGACCCCGGCCAGAAAAUCUGCG